UACGGUUACAUCAUGUUGAAGCAACGGUUCCUGUACGAUCACCGAAGUUAAGCAACAUCGAGCCUGAUAGGUACCUCGAUUGGUUACUUGGGAAUACCAGGUGUUACAG